UAAAGUCUAAUCUGCCCACUGAUAUAAUAUUAAAGGGCUGCAGUAUUUUGACUGUACAAAGGUAGCAUAAUCAUUAGUCUUUUAAUUGAAGACUUGUAUGAAWGAUUGGAUGAAAUAUAAACUGUCUCUAAUAUUAUUAGUUAGAAUUUAAUUUUUUUAUUAAAAAGUAAAAAUAAAUUUAAAAGACGAGAAGACCCUAUAGAGUUUUAUAAUUAAUUUAAUUGAAAUUAUUUAUAAAGAUAAUUUUAAAUUAAUAAAUUAAAAUUAAGUUAAUUAUUUUGUUGGGGUGAUAAAAAAAUAAAAAUAACUUUUUUUAAUAAAUAUAUAUAUAUAUAUAUAUAUAUAUAUAUAUAUUGUAAACAAAAAUAAAUGAUUUUUUGAUCCAGAAUUUUUGAUUAUAAGAAAAAAUUACCUUAGGGAUAACAGCGUAAUUUUUUUUUUUAGUUCAAAUAAGAAAAAGAGUUUGCGACCUCGAUGUUGGAUUAAGGAAAAAUUUAAAUGCAAAAGUUUAAAAUUUUG
rnacentral:rRNA from 1 species